AGAGAUAGAGGCGUGCUCGAAAGAGAGCCGUAACACAGGUGCUGCAUGGCUGUCGUCAGCUCGUGUCGUGAGAUGUUGGUUAAGUCCCGCAACGAGCGCAACCCUUGUCAUUAGUUGCUACAUUCAGUUGGGCACUCUAAUGAGACUGCCGGUGACAAGCCGGAGGAAGGUGGGGAUGACGUCAAGUCCUCAUGGCCCUUAUAGGUGGGGCUACACACGUCAUACAAUGGCUGGUACAAAGGGUUGCCAACCCGCGAGGGGGAGCUAAUCCCAUAAAGCCAGUCGUAGUCCGGAUCGUAGUCUGCAACUCGACUACGUGAAGUCGGAAUCGCUAGUAAUCGUGGAUCAGAAUGUCACGGUGAAUACGUUCCCGGGUCUU
rnacentral:rRNA from 1 species